AUGGUCUUGUUUUUGGCGGCAGUGAAUUUCAUGGGCUGAUUAUAGGAGAGAGAGAACUGAAGAAU
rnacentral:rRNA from 1 species